UGGGGAAUAUUGGACAAUGGGGGCAACCCUGAUCCAGCGAUGCCGCGUGUGUGAAGAAGGCCUGCGGGUUGUAAAGCACUUUCAGUUGGGAAGAGAAUCUAUUAGUGAAUACCUAAUAGAGGAGACGUUACUAACAAAAGAAGCACCGGCUAACUACGUGCCAGCAGCCGCGGUAAUACGUAGGGUGCGAGCGUUAAUCGGAAUUACUGGGCGUAAAGCGUGCGCAGGCGGUUUGGUAAGACAGAUGUGAAAUCCCCGGGCUUAACCUGGGAACUGCAUUUGUGACUGCCAGACUAGAGUGUAGCAGAGGGGGGUAGAAUUCCACGUGUAGCAGUGAAAUGCGUAGAUAUGUGGAGGAAUACCGAUGGCGAAGGCAGCCCCCUGGGCUAACACUGACGCUCAUGCACGAAAGCGUGGGGAGCAAACAGGAUUAGAUACCCAUGUAGUCCCUGAGCGGGCUGGCAAGGCGCAU
rnacentral:rRNA from 1 species